rnacentral:rRNA from 1 species
UUUCGAAUCAUUCACAAUGGGCGAAAGCCUGAUGGUGCGACGCCGCGUGAGGGAUGAAGGCCUUCGGGUUGUAAACCUCUGUCACCCGGGGAAGAAACGCUUCAAGUUAACAGCUUGAAGCCUGACUUAACCCGGAGAGGAAGCAGUGGCUAACUCUGUGCCAGCAGCCGCGGUAAUACAGAGACUGCAAGCGUUAUUCGGAUUCACUGGGCGUAAAGGGUGCGCAGGCGGUUGGGUGUGUCAGAUGUGAAAUCCCGAGGCUUAACCUCGGAACUGCGUCUGAAACUACUCGACUAGAGUACUGGAGAGGGUAACGGAAUUCACGGUGUAGCAGUGAAAUGCGUAGAUAUCGUGAGGAACACCAGAGGCGAAGGCGGUUACCUGGACAGUUACUGACGCUCAGGCACGAAAGCAUGGGGAGCAAAAGGGAUUAGAUACCCCCGUAGUCCCUGAGCGGGCUGGCAAGGCGCAU